ACACAUCUGCGGAAAGACAGGAAACUGCUGCUGGUUUUUACAACCAGGAAACAUAAGAAGAAAGAUUCUCAGUUUUUGCACUCUCUUUUUUCCAAUUUAUUUUCGUCUUCAAAACUAAGCUAAAGCAACGCGAGUCCUAAUUACGUUAGGGAUCGACACAAGCGCGUCUUUUUUUUUUUUUGAUAGGAAGCAAGAAGGCCAACUCUAGGCGCACGGGGCAUUUUGUGCAAAAACCAGGAUAUUCAACUACCAGUUAUAUCGAAAGUUGCUCUGCUUGA
ensembl:ncRNA F55F1.7 ncRNA